rnacentral:rRNA from 1 species
UCCGAUUCAGCCAUGCUAGUUGUACGGGUUUAGACCCGUAGCAAAUAGCUCCGUAACACGUGGUCAAACUACCCUCUGGACCGGGAUACCCUCGGGAAACUGAGGUCAAUCCCAGAUACUGCUUUCAUGUUGGAAUACAGAAAGUCGGAAACGGUCCGCCGCCGGAGGACGUGACUGCGGCCGAUUAGGUAGACGGUGGGGUAACGGCCCACCGUGCCGAUAAUCGGUACGGGUUGUGAGAGCAAGAACCCGGAGACGGUAUCUGAGACAAGAUACCGGGCCCUACGGGGCGCAGCAGGCGCGAAACCUUUACACUGCACGCCAGUGCGAUAAGGGGACCCCGAGUGCGAGGGCAUACAGUCCUCGCUUUUCGUGACCGUAAGAAGGUCUCAGAAUAAGAGCUGGGCAAGACCGGUGCCAGCCGCCGCGGUAAUACCGGCAGCUCGAGUGAUAGCCACUAUUAUUGGGCCUAAAGCGUCCGUAGCCGGCCGAACAGGUCCGUCGGGAAAUCCACCCGCUCAACGGGUGGACGUCCGGCGGAAACCAGUCGGCUUGGGGCCGGGAGACCAGAGAGGUACGUCCGGGGUAGGAGUGAAAUCCUGUAAUCCUGGACGGACCGCCGGUAGCGAAAGCGUCUCUGGAGAACGGACCCGACGGUGAGGGACGAAAGCUUGGGUCUCGAACCGGAUUAGAUACCCGGGUAGUCCAAGCUGUAAACGAUGCUCGCUAGGUGUGGCGUUGGCUACGAGCCAGCGCUGUGCCGUAGGGAAGCCGAGAAGCGAGCCGCCUG